AAUUUUAUCUCACUCAUUGAUUACUUUGGCUCCAUUUGAGUUUGAACAAGGAAUUGUAAAAUUUUGUUUUGAUUUAAUAAUUAUAAGUUAUAAAAUAGAUUAAAAUGUUACCUUUAAUAUGCAACUCCCCAGAGGGCAACACGACAAAUUUUCCAUCUUAAUAAAUUACAGUUUGCAGUACCAACCAAAGCUAUUCUGUGGAGUAAAUUCAGUGCCGGAAUUAAACCAAGAGACAACAUGUACGAAGUCUGCGACAAAAGAAGGUUGAGCGACAACUGAAAUACACAAGGAAACAAAAAAAACUGGGUCAGAAAUAUUGUAGCAGAAACUAUCCAGAAACGGAAAAGAAGUGAUCGUUACUAUAUUAUUACUUAUUUAUGACCGCUAAUAAAUCUGUCCUGACAGAAUAUACUAUUUUCCAUACACAUGCCAUGACCAAGUGUUCCUUCUAAAUUGCUUAGUUUGAAUGGCAAAAUUAAAUGACCAACCCUCAAAAACUC